rnacentral:rRNA from 1 species
GACGAACGCUGGCGGCGUGCCUAAUACAUGCAAGUCGAGCGCAGGAAGCUGACGGAACUCUUCGGAGGGAAGGCAGUGGAAUGAGCGGCGGACGGGUGAGUAACACGUAAGGAACCUGCCUCAAGGAUUGGGAUAACUCCGAGAAAUCGGAGCUAAUACCGGAUAGUUCAACGGACCGCAUGGGCCGCUGAUGAAAGGCGCUUCGGCGUCACCUUGAGAUGGCCUAGCGGGGCAUUAGCUAGUUGGUGAGGUAACGGCCCACCAAGGCGACGAUGCAUAGCCGACCGGAGAGGGUGAUCGGCCACACUGGGACUGAGACACGGCCCAGACUCCUACGGGAGGCAGCAGUAGGGAAUCUUCCACAAUGGACGAAAGUCUGAUGGAGCAACGCCGCGUGAGUGAUGAAGGUUUUCGGAUCGUAAAACUCUGUUGUAAGGGAAGAACACGUACGAGAGGAAAUGCUCGUACCUUGACGGUACCUUACGAGAAAGCCACGGCUAACUACGUGCCAGCAGCCGCCGUAA